rfam:Schistosoma mattheei strain Denwood, Zambia genome assembly, scaffold: SMTD_contig0003753
AGCUUUUCGAAUCCGCGCUGAGAUGUCGUCAGACACCAACCCAUUAGGGAAGAUCAGACUUUCGAGAUAAGUGAAGUU